rnacentral:lncRNA from 1 species
GUGUCAUGGUACUCGGCUAUUAAGAGACAUGCUUAAUUUGAAAGUCUGUUAAAAACGUUUGAAGGGACUAGCCACUGAACUUUCAACCUGCUGAUCCAAUGCUCCUUCCUGAAAGCAAUGAAUCUGCUGACAUAGUUUGGGUCAUCUUCACAGCUGGUCCAGGAGACCUUCCUAGGAAGAACAAAACCAGAAGGGAAGCCCAGAGGAUGUCUGCUGCUGCUAACCAACCUUGGCCUGCUGUUACAGCUAAGGCACUGCUCAACUGCCAGCGUCACAAAAUCUUUUCUCUGUUGGCGUAUACUCUGGAGAAGGCGAUGGGUAUGCUGUUCUUUGAGGAAAGUGGUAUUGCGUUUGAAAAGAUGGCAACAGGCUAAAAUCUAUUGGGUAGUCUGGAGUGUUGAACUGAAUGUGAACAAUUGGCUACGGAGGAGAAGAAGAAUGAAAAAGACAGGAAGAUAAACACUGGAAGAACAUUUUGAUAGAAUAAAAGGCCCUUUGCAGAUUGCUUUCGCCA